GUUUAAAGCAGAACCGUGAACUGCGUGUCUUGAAUGAGUAUAAACUGAAAUAACAACAGGUUUUGCAAGAUAACCAAAAUCAUUGACUGCAUUAUCUAAAGACAGCUGAUUUCCCUCAUAAAGUCGAGACAUGGAAAGGAAAGAGAAUGAAGUGUCCUCCAUCUCCCCACAAAAACAGACAGUGAAAAAUAGAUCCAAGUCCACAGAGGAGGUACAGCAAGCCAAAAAGGCCUUUCAUACACCACAAAAAUCUCUUCCGGCUAAACCAGAAACCGAACAACUUGAGGAGACCUCAGAACUGAGUGCCUCAUCAGAGAUGAAAUGAUUGUUGGACUUUGGGCUGGAAUUAUGGUUAAUAACAAGAGGAUGAGUCAGUGUCUUUACUGAAUUCAGUGUUUUACAUAGUUUAGUUAGUAUAGAAGAAAACCAAGAAUAGUCAUGUGUAGCUUUUUGAAUUUGUAUGAGUCUGUUUUGUUUGUGAAAUAAAUGCAAAGCUGGAUAUCUCAGUAAA